CAAUAGCGUAUAUUAAAGCUGUUGCGGUUAAAAAGCUCGUAGUUGGAUUUCUGUCAAGGACAACUGGUCCGCCCCUCGGGUGAGCACAUAGUUUGGUCUUGGCAUCUUGUUGGAAACUGUUGCUGCACUUGGUUGUGUGGCGCAGUGUCCAGCACUUUCACUUUGAGGAAAUUGGAGUGUUUCAAGCAGGCACAUGCCUUUGGACACAGUAGCAUGGAAUAAUUAGAUUGGGCUUUUGCUCCAAUUUGUCGGUUUCUGGAGCUGAGGUGAGAAUUAAUGGGGAUUGUUGGGGGCAUCCGAAUUUAGCCGUCAGAGGUGAAAUUCUUGGAUCUGCUAAAGACGGACAACUGCGAAAGCGUUUGCCCAGGAUGUUUUCAUUGA
rnacentral:rRNA from 1 species